rnacentral:lncRNA from 1 species
GGCAAGGAAGGGAGGGUGGCUCUAGGACCCGUACGAGCCUUCCCGAGCAGGAGGUGGGAAUUUUCCUCCAAGGCAGCAGGAGCCCGAGCCCGGUCUCAGAGCUCCAGCGGAGCCCUCAGGAAGAGCCUGGCACGUCCCCUCCGCAGCCGCUCACCCGGGUGGGACCAGCCCGCAUCCCGCAGAGCUAUGAACCGGCUACCACAGCUGCUGCUGUGGGCCACCACAGUGGCUGUUGUCUUCUGCUCUGGAUCACAUGAAGAAAACUCUUCUUCACCAAAUCCAACUCAGAAGUUCUCCGUGAUAAAAAAUAGGAUGGUUUCUUUGCAUCAGCCUUCUACACCAGAAAUCUCUUGUGUCAUCGGCUCAAGCUGUUCAUGGGAGACGUCCACAGACAGUUUUGGAAAGCCAGACUGGGUGUUAUCUUCCAUUGGUGUCCUGGCAUCGCAGGAGAGGCAGCA